rnacentral:siRNA from 1 species
UGAAAUGCCAAACUCAUCGUUG